UCUAGGGUUUCGUUUCCUCCACGCUUUUCCAAGAUCUCCUUUCUUUCAAAAUUUUUUUCUAUAGUAGUUGUUUUUAAUUUUUUUUUUAUGUUGUUUAUUUCUAUGAUUUAUUUUUUCUUUUAGAUCAGGUCAAACGAUUUUCAAUUAUCGAUUAUUUUUAUAUUUUGCUCAAUUUUUUUUUUUUUUUAAGCAGGGAAAUUUUACCUUGAUCUAAAGUUUGAAGAGAUCUUUGGGUUUUUAUUAAUUUUUCUUGAAAAAGUUUAGGUCCAAGUUAUCCUGAAACUUUAUCUUCUCUAUGGAUCUAGUAGAUCUCGAAGUUUUCCGUUGUUUUGUUAGAUUUUUCUUGUUUUCUGGUUGUUUUUUCUUGGCUGCAGGUUAGCUGUUGUAGAUCUUUGCGAUGUGAAGCUGUUCGUCGUUUAAUUGGUGAUUGAUUGCUGUUGAUGUGCGAGAUCGAAGUGGAUCGGGGACGAUCGAGGUGCCGGAGGGUAGAUCCAUGUCUGUUUGAGUUAGAUCGGCGUUCACAGCAUCGAUAGGGAUGUACACAUGAUCUGAAACCUCUCGUGGCUACCCAUUGGAUCAGAGAUGUAGAUCUUGUAACAAUCAUCUGAAUAUGUGAUACAGAUGUAGAUUGAAAUCUUUCCUUUGGAGCCCAUGGGGAUGGAGAACGAAGGUAAAUCGUUUGUUAUACCGAUCUUUGCCAUGUUGGGUGCGCUCGCAUGGCAGAUCACCAAAACCCUAAUAAAAGUUCAAUUUUUUGGGUGUUUUAGGGGGAGAUCGCACGGGAUCUUUAAUUUUUUAAUCCCGGGUUCUCCCCCUUGUGUCUUCUCUUGCUUUCCAUCUUUGCCUUGACAUUCAAAGUCUCCGAUUCAUCUUCAUCACCGAGCAAGUACCGCAUCCCUCGAAGCUUCAAUUCGAUGAACUAAUUACUUCACAAGAUGGUUGUGAUCGUAAUUUUUUGGCAUAUAUUUCCGUCUCUUUGCAAAAAGGAUAAAACUUGUUGAAUUUUUUUAUGUACUUUUCUUUUGUUGUAAAUGAUUUGCUGUAAUUUCUUGUGGAAAAAAAUUACAAAAUGUUAGUGGAGGUGGAAGAUUACUGAAAGGACUGCAGAAGUUCCAACUUCCAAGUAGUUGUGAUGCUCUUGCUGUUGCGGAAGUCGUUGGCGUGUGCCCUUUCCCACGGUUGCUAAGGUCUCCAGUUCGCUUUGGUUCGGCAUUUUGUUUGUCAAAGUGUGGUGAUAAAGUAUUCGAUUGUGGGUUCAUUUUGGCUUGAUUCAUUGUGGACCUGGUAAUGGAGUGGACUUGGAUGAUGUAGUGGACUUGGAGAAUGAUCACCAGCUGUCUGGAAGAUUUUUCAAUUGUUUUAGCUUCAUUGUAAUUUUUUUUUUCUGUUAUUUGUAAUUAUUAUUAUUUUUUAAAUGAACAUGAUUUAUUCAACUUU